AAGAAACCCUGCUCCCAUCUCUUCAGAAUACUACCCGGUCUGCAAACGUCAGAUGGAACAGCGUUAUUAAUUUCGACGGAACCUUCCCGAAGAAAAAAGGUUUUCGCGCGCCCUUGGAUCGAAGCCGACCACUCACCUGUUUCCAGUUGGUAACAUCUCCCCGGCUGGUCGAACCGAUUCACAUUUGCCACGACGAUUUCGUCGAGAAGAGGGCCCGGAGAUCUUCUUGGACCGGUUCUUUUGGUCCUUGGCACCGGUUCACUCGGCUCCGGUUGUCCUAGCAGCUCUGACUUCGGACGGAAGCCUGGCCCGCAUUCCCACGAGGUACCGUAACCUAAAUUGAAACCUUGAAUGCAUGAACGUUCUUUCCAGGAUAAUCAGGAGCGCAGUUAUUUUAAUCCUGUUCUUCCUGUUUU